UACAGAGGUCUCAAGCGUUGUUCGGAUUCAUUGGGCGUAAAGGGUGCGUAGGCGGCGCGGUAAGUCGGGUGUGAAAUCUCGGGGCUUAACUCCGAAACUGCAUUCGAUACUGCCGUGCUUGAGGACUGGAGAGGAGACUGGAAUUUACGGUGUAGCGGUGAAAUGCGUAGAUAUCGUAAGGAAGACCAGUGGCGAAGGCGGGUCUCUGGACAGUUCCUGACGCUGAGGCACGAAGGCCAGGGGAGCAGACAGG
rnacentral:rRNA from 1 species